GAUGAACGCUGGCGGCGUGCCUAAUACAUGCAAGUCGAACGCAUUAACUUCACCGAGUGCUUGCACUCACCGAAGUUAAUGAGUGGGCGAACGGGUGAGUAACACGUGGGUAACCUGCCCAAAAGAGGGGGAUAACACUUGGAAACAGGUGCUAAUACCGCAUAAUUUGUUAAACCGCAUGGUUUGAUAAUGAAAGACGGCGUAAGCUGUCACUUUUGGAUGGACCCGCGGCGUAUUAGCUAGUUGGUGAGGUAAAGGCCCACCAAGGCAAUGAUACGUAGCCGACCUGAGAGGGUGAUCGGCCACAUUGGGA
rnacentral:rRNA from 1 species